rnacentral:rRNA from 1 species
GACGUGAGAGGCGAGCGUUGUUCGUCAUUAAUGGGUCUAAAGGGUGCGUAGGCGGUUUAGUAAAUUUUUUCUUAAUUACACCUUAGAGUGGAUCUGAUAAUACUAGACUAGAGUUAAAAGGAGUAACAAACAGGACAAGAGUAGUGUAACAAUACUUAAAUACUUGAAUGGUUGCGAAGCAGCGAAGGCGUGUUACUAUUAAAGACUGACGCUGAGGCACGAAGGCAUGGGUAUCGAAUGGG